GACUCUCGCACGGAUAUCUCGGCUCACGCAUCGAUGUGAAGAACGUAGCAAAAUGCGAUACUUGGUGUGAAUUGCAGAAUCCCGUGAACGCAUCGAGUUUUUGAACGCAAGUUGCGCCCGAAGCCAUUCGGUUGAGGGCACGUCUGCCUGGGCGUCG
rnacentral:rRNA from 1 species